ensembl:lncRNA uncharacterized LOC108494391
GUGACCUUCCCAGCAGCCUCUGCUGGCUCUGCCCCAACCAAACAAAGAGGGCAGGAGCUUUUCAAAGAGCAGCCUCCCAAAAAGUUGGGUGCCGCGAAACCGGUCUGGGCGCGGCCCCGAGCAGGCGGCGGCGGCAGCGAGGCGGUGCCGUCGCCUGGGAGGAUCCCGGCAGCCGUCGGCAGUCCCUAGGUACGGGACAGUGCUCUCUCCAGACCCAAGGGCAGGCUCUGCAGCGUCAGCAGCUCCCAUGCAGGAGUUUCUACAUGGGCAUCUCCAGUUCUGCUUGCUGUGACCUUCCAGGCUGCCAAGGAGACGUGAGGCUCUGCCGGGGACCUGCCAGCCUUGUGUGAUGAGCAGCCACUUGCCAGGACUCACACCAAGCUUCCCGGGACACUGAGCUGCUGCUUGGCAUCCUGACCGCUUCUGAUUCCUUGCUGUGCUGCUGGCAGGGUGGGAUUGAUGUCCAGUUUGGGACGCCUGUCACCAUCCUCUGUGCCCUUGGCAGGCUGGGGGACCAAGCUGGACCCCUCACUCUAAGGGGGCUCUGUGUGAGCGAGGGACGGGUUUGGGGCUGUCCAUAUUCAUCCUGGUGGGAAGAGCCACCUCCUUUCCAUCUGGGAACCGUGUCACUGCUGGAAGCUGGAAAUGGCACCACAUGCACCACGGGCCAGAGCCAGCAGCCUGGCAGCAGGGCAGUAGCUGAGCCUGAGCACCAUCCCCCAGGGCUUGGAGCUGCCUGGGGGGCUGCCGGAGUCCCCAGCACAGGCGUGCCCCAGGGAUGUAGGAGCCGGGAGCAGGAGGGGCCCUGCAGCCAUGGGCCGGCUGGACGACCAUGCCAAGAGGAGGAUCGUGGAGCUGCGCCGGGCUGGGCUGAGCUUCCGCAAGAUCAAGAAGGUGCUGGAGCUGGACGACAUCCGGGUGACGCCGCAGGCCGUGUACCUCUUCCUCAAGAGGAAGAGCGUAGAGCCGGGGCUUGCAGCACCUGGCUGGGACAGGGACCAGCCCUGGCCUCCACUGCAGGGGCACGACGAGGCUGAGCCCCCCAGGCUGCUGGGCACCCGGCCCCCUGCAGUGCCCCUGGGGGAUCCCACAGGCAGCCAGGACACCAAGGAGAGCAUACAGAUGGUUAGUGUGGCCUCCCUCUGCAAGGACGAUGGGCAGCUCGGGGACACCCUGCCCGUGGGGCCGGCCCCUGGGAACGGUGACGACAGCUCCACAGGCACCCUCUUGGCUCCGGGGAGCUGCCCCGCUCUGAGGGGCUUGGCCACCCCCCAUCAGCCACUGCCCAGCCGAGGGCGGCUGGUCACACCUCACACCAGGAACCCAGCCCUGGUGGUGAAGAAGACAACUGUGGACAGGGCUGUUCUCUGGCAGAAAAAGGUCAAAGAUGCCAGCACUCAGACUGCCCUGCUGAACCCCGUGGGUCCAGAAAAUCACCAACUUGCUUGGGGUGUGCCAGUGCCCCCCUCUGCUCCCAGUUCCCAAGCCAUUGCUGAGAAGCUGGACACUGUGCAGACGGAGGUGCAGAGGCUGAGCCAGGCCCUGCACGUGGUGCUGGAGCAGCAGUGCCGCCUGGAGCGCCAGCAGGAGCACCAGCAGCGGCUGCAGCAGGAGGUGCUGAUGACGCUGCAGCAGCUCAGCUCGACCGUGAGCCACGGGGCCGUGCCAGCCAACCAGCCCCGCGGCCCCUUCAGCAGCAUGGCCGAGCCCUCGCCCACCCUGCCCAACUUCAGCCAGUUCAAGAUGGAGCUGAUGUGAGCUCCCGCAGUGCCGGUGCGCUCCAGUGCUGUGCUGAUGGAGCCGGGAGGAAGAACCACCUCUCAGAGGCUGCCCGAGGAUUACGUGCAGCACCCAGCAGAGAAGGUCCCUGGUGCCUCGUGUUCUCAGCCCUACUGACUGGAAGGGGCUGCCUGGCACAAGGGGCUGGGCAGUGGAAGGCUGAGGCUUCACUCCUGUGCUGCUCAUCCUGGCUGGUGCUGGAGCUGGCUGGCGGCCCCCUAAGAGGGACACAGCAGGGAGGUGGGACUCAAAGGAAACAUGAGGCUUCCUGCUCAUGAGGGUCAAUCACAAGUGCUGUGAUGGUCAAUCACAGGAACACCUCCUGUCCUCCCUCUGCAGAACGUUGUUCAGUAAAAACCUAUUUACACCAUGAUUCAGAUCCAGUGGUGGGAUC